UAGCACGACAUCAGCAAUAUCAUGAAACAAAGCAAGCUCAGGGGGUUUUGUCCACCGCGCAGUGUUAUAGAAGCAUGGCUGCAGGGUGGGGUGAGAAGUGAUGGAAGUCAUUUUGCUCAUUUCCACCCCCGACAGCAAAAUGUCUUUUGCUCCUGUAGACCAAUACAUUGUUAUUUCUGCAUGUGGCCUCCAAUCCUGAUACCCGAGUCACCUUCACGGUGCUUGAGGGGUGCUUGCUGUUUCCUGGGGCUGCGGCAGCCGCAGCGCAGACUGUUCUCUCUGCGCUGUGCUCAGCCUGGUCGUGCCAGAGAGGAGGGAAGAGAGGGGAGUCCCGGCCACCUGCCGCUCCGGACUCAGCAUCCCGCUUUGCU
rnacentral:lncRNA from 1 species